rnacentral:lncRNA from 1 species
UAGAAUAAAGAUAAAAAUCUAUUAAUUUUUGUUUAUAAAUUUUUUAAUAGAAAAAACUUCAAAUACCACCCAUGUGGUUUCGCACUUUCUCACUUUAGUACUCUGUGGUAUAAAGUGUAUCAAUUUAGUACCCUGUGGCUUCAUUUUUCUCUUUUAAUUAUUCAUUCUAUUAAUUUUUUUUCAUUAAAUUAGUGAUAAAAUUAAAACUAAAGAGUACUAAAGUGAAUAUUCGAUAAACCUAAGUAGGGCAUCUGAAGUUUUUUGUAUAAAAUUUAACGAAAUAUUAACAGAGGAGCAUACAAAAAGAGAAAAUGAAAUCAGGAGACAAACUUAUACAUUUUAAACCAUAAGGUAUUAAAGUGAGAAAGUGUGAAACCAUAUG